AAAGAGUCGAACCUGCCCAAUGAUAUAUAUUCAAUGGCCGCGGUACUCUGACCGUGCAAAGGUAGCAUAAUCAUUUGCCUUAUAAUUGAAGGCUUGUAUGAAUGGUUUGACGAAAACAAAGCUGUCUCUUCUUAAUUUUAUAAAACUUGAUUUUUAGGUGAAGAAGCCUAAAUAAAAUUGAAAGACAAGAAGACCCUAUCGAGCUUUAAAAAUUUUUAUUAAUAUAAAAUGACUAACAAUUGAUCAGAUAUAAUAGAAAAUUUUAGUUGGGGCGACUAAGGAACAAGAAAGCUUCCAUUUUGAUAUUAAAGCAGAUCAGCUAUGAUCCAAAAAUUUUGAUUAAAAGAAUUAGUUACCGUAGGGAUAACAGCAUAAUCUUUUUUGAGAGUUCUUAUCGAAAAAAAGGUUUGUGACCUCGAUGUUGGACUAGAAUAUCCUAAAUGAUGCAGAAGUCUUUAAGGGUUGGUCUGUUCGACC
rnacentral:rRNA from 1 species